rnacentral:rRNA from 1 species
UACGUAGGGUGGAAGCGGUGUCCGGAAUUAUUGGGCGUAAAGAGCUCGUAGGCGGUCUGGCGCGUCGGCUGUGAAAACCCGGAGCUCAACUCCGGGCCUGCAGUCGAUACGGGCAGACUGGAGUUCGGCAGGGGAGACUGGAAUUCCUGGUGUAGCGGUGAAAUGCGCAGAUAUCAGGAGGAACACCGGUGGCGAAGGCGGGUCUCUGGGCCGAUACUGACGCUGAGGAGCGAAAGCGUGGGGAGCGAACAGG